rnacentral:rRNA from 1 species
AUGGCCACGGGGCUAGCGCACGUAGACGCGCUCCAUGUCGCGCUCGACGACCUCCUCGACCUACCCGAGGCCCAGGCUGCGCUCUCCGGCGCCGGCGGCAGCGUCGACUGCCUCCUGGACUCCUUUCUCCACCUCGCCGACGUGCACGGCUGCUUCCAGGAAGCCAUGGUGGUGCUCAAGCAGGACGUCUCCGAGGCGCUGGUGGCCGUGCGCCGUCGCGACGGGGCACGCCUGGCUUCAGCAGUGCGGUCGCAGCGCAGGACCGGGAAGGAAUUCGCGAGCCUUGCCGCCGCGGCCAGCGAGUGCGCCGUCAGGCCGUCCCGCCUGAGUAUCCUCGGCGGCAGCCAAGGCAGCGCGGCGGAGGUCGAGGUGACCGGGCUGCUGUUGGAGUCGGCUGUGGCCACCGUGUCGGCUUCGGCCGCACUGUUCGGGGCCAUGGCGACCAUGUUGGGGUCGGUGGCGGCGGAGUCGUGCUCGUGCAAACGGACAGCGGCGCUGGUGUCCCUGGUAACGAAGAAAAAGAAGAAGGCGUCGGCGCUGGGGUCGGGGUGGGCGGCGGAGCUACCUGUGGCUGCCGUGGCGGAAAGGCUGGAGGAGCUGGAGGAGUUCAUCGAGGAGAUGGAGGCCGGAAGCGAGAAGGUGUUCCCGAGCCUCGUGCAGACUAGGGUCGCGCUCCUCAACAUCCACACGCUCCACAUCUUCUAA